rnacentral:rRNA from 1 species
UACGUAGGGGCGAGCGUUGUCCGGAAUUAUUGGGCGUAAAGGGUUCGCAGGCGGUCUGAUAAGUCAGAUGUGAAAGGCAAUGGCUCAACCAUUGUAAGCAUUUGAAACUGUCAGACUUGAGUUAAGGAGAGGAAAGUGGAAUUCCUAGUGUAGCGGUGAAAUGCGUAGAUAUUAGGAGGAAUACCAGUGGCGAAGGUGACUUCUGGACUUAUACUGACGCUGAGGAACGAAAGCGUGGGGAGCAAACAGGAUUAGAUACCCUGGUA